UGGGGAAUUUUGGACAAUGGGCGAAAGCCUGAUCCAGCAAUGCCGCGUGUGUGAGAAGGCCAGCUUCGGGUUGUAAAGCACUUUUGUCCGGAAAGAAAUCCUUGGCUCUAAUACAGUCGGGGGAUGACGGUACCGGAAGAAUAAGCACCGGCUAACUACGUGCCAGCAGCCGCGGUAAUACGUAGGGUGCAAGCGUUAAUCGGAAUUACUGGGCGUAAAGCGUGCGCAGGCGGUUUGCUAAGACCGAUGUGAAAUCCCCGGGCUCAACCUGGGAACUGCAUUGGUGACUGGCAGGCUAGAGUAUGGCAGAGGGGGGUAGAAUUCCACGUGUAGCAGUGAAAUGCGUAGAGAUGUGGAGGAAUACCGAUGGCGAAGGCAGCCCCCUGGGCCAAUACUGACGCUCAUGCACGAAAGCGUGGGGAGCAAACAGGAUUAGAUACCCUGGUAGUCCAGCGCCCUAAACGAUGUCAACUAGUUGUUGGGGAUUCAUUCCUUAGUAACGUAGCUAACGCGUGAAGUUGACCGCCUGGGGAGUACGGUCGCAAGAUUAAAACUU
rnacentral:rRNA from 1 species